GCCCAGAACCUCUGUGGGCGAGGACAAUGCCGGCAUGGAUCUGGAUACGGUGACGUCUCCUAUUGCUCCCCGUCCCCACUCCCAAGAAGAAAAAUCCCCAUUUGAGACAAAGACGUUUGUCAAGGUCCCGUCACAGGAAAAGGGGGAUUUGAAGAUUUUCAAAAGCAGAGGCUGACAGUUCAGAUGUGGUGGAGCCUUUGCCUGGUGACACAUGGAGAUAAUAACCGUGGCAGUGACUCAAGAGUCAAAUACCAACAUUUUUCACAAAGCCAUGGUGGAAGAAGUCAUACAUUGUCACUUUAAUCACCUUCUAAACCUCGGGUAUGUCGUUUUUUUGUGGAGAAGAAAAGUCUCCACUGCUGUGGAAGACGACCGGCAAGCAGAAGUUGGAAACAUGGGAGGAGGAAUCCACCUUGUGGCCAACCGGGGGAAUCGUCCAAGCGUUUUGGGGGUGAACCAAUCAGCACCACGGAGAGCUCCUGCAUCCCUCUGUCGUCAUGGGCAACGCCCCGGUUGUGACCUUCGAGCUGGCACCACACUUCAUUUGAUAUUGAUGUAGACCUUUCUUUCAACAACAAAUCAAACGGCACCACAUUGAAUAGAUUAUCUAUAUAUAUUUCUUCGAGUUGGCCCACUAAGGCAAAAACAGAGAAGUUAUUUCCAGUCGCUUAGCAACCUGGUUACCUGGUCAACUGUCUCUCCUUUGUAACGAUGCCAUUCCACACGUCACACCCGCGCGCGCACUUAUGCGUUACAUUUACCGCCUAAUUGCAU
ensembl:lncRNA